rnacentral:lncRNA from 1 species
UAAUCCAUCAACUUAGAAACUUUGAAAUUUUUCGUUCUUAUUAAAAUAAUUUUGUAUAUUAUGGAAACUAGAAUGAAUACAGUGACUUUUUAUGUGAUCAACAUACUAAUUAAAAAAGAAGAAGGUCUGGCUCUCCUAAAAUACAUGAAAUAUAAAUAUUCAAAAAUUGAUGAAUCUCUGCGAUUAAAAUAAAUUGUGAAUUACCUGGAUAAGGACCAAUUUGCUGGGUUAUAUAUCCAUCUAUCCUAUGGCCUGCUCUACGUAGAAACGUUAUUAUACGGUCUUCCGAAUGGUCUUCAAUCAAAUCAUCAAUGAAAUCUCUAAUUGUCCUGGUAUUUCGGUCUCUCGUAUGCAUAGAUCGUUCCAACCGAAUCUAUAUAACAACUAUGAAACUUGCCUUCAAAUUAUUUGAGGCUUGUUUAAAUUCCACUUCGCAAGUAUUUUCUAAAUACCUCAACUGGUCUAUAGAUGAAAAACAAUAUGUGACAGACUUUUGAUUAGUAACUGGUAUUAACUAGUUAAAUGAAAACUUACCAAUAAAUUCCCAUAUUUUUGGAUGAGGCCUUAUGAUUUUUAAGAGUACGGCAUGAAUGAAUCCAAAAAGGAAUAAUAUAUUCAUAAAUAAAUCGGUGGUACGCCAAAGCUACAUCUUCAUACUGCACUAUGAAUAGAAUUAUGGCAUUAACGCCAUCAACCACCGAAGGAACUCUGCCAAUUCUUACAGACGGAAGGUAAAAUAUUAAGAACCAUCCGGAAAACACGAGCAGCAACAGGGUUUAUUUUUACUAAAUUGUAAACACCGAUUGAUUUGUUUCUGGCAUACCGCAGAAUCGCCUAAAUAAAUUAGUAAUAAUUAUAUAUAUAUUUUAAUACUUCUUAUUAAACUCUUACCUGACAAUAAUGGAAAUAGCAGCCCUGGGGUAUCAUAUCUUUGAUACGUUCAAAUAAUGCAGUAUAUAUUCCUUCAUUCUUUCCAUUUAAAAGUGCAUAUACCAGAGGAUAGCUCUAUAAUACAAAAAGACAAGAAUUAAGACUUAGAACAGAAGAAAAAUAUUCAUACAAGUUUCAUAAUAGCUGAGUAUAGAAAAGAACAUACAACAUUUUUGUACACUAUUUGAAACGUAAAUAGUUGGUAGCAAUCAUUAUCUAUUGUCUUUGGGACAGUCUUGAAUGUACCAUCACAUCCGGCUACUGUGAUCUAUAACAUCAUAACACUACUAAUAAUACUUAAAAAUAAGAAAAAAAAUAAUCUUGACUUACGUUUUGUAACUCAACAGCUAUGUCCUGAAUAAAACUUGUGUUACAAAAAACCAAUCCAACUAACAUUCCAUUUACCAUCAAUGGCCCCUGAUAGAAUCUGUAAAUGGAAAUAAUCAUUUACAUUUUAAUUUUUUUACUGAAUAAUAUUAGCUUUUACAGAUUUGGUUGUGCCUGGAAUGUGAGGGCAAAGUGUCGGUUUUCAUUCAUUUCUAAAAGUUGAUGGAGGUGUAAAAGAUUCCUUGGAGUUGGGGGGAAUAUGGAUUUUCUUAUUUGGCGCAUUCUCUCUGUGGCUUGGAGGUAUGUAUAGUUGUAUG